GAGUAGCUGGGACUGCAGGCGCCCGCCACCAUGCCUGGCUAAUUUUUUGUAUGUUUAGUAGAGACGGGGUUUCACCGUGUUAGCCAGGAUGGUCUCUAUCUCCUGACCUCGUGAUCUGCCUGCCUCGGCCUCCCGAAGUGCCGGAAUUACAAGCGUGAGCCACCAUUCCCGGCCCAAAGAGGAGAAGAAGUAUGAAGUGCUUGCUUGGACCUUUCUACUGUGCUUAUUAUUCUGUCUUCUCCUCAUGGCAAAUUUCUUUUUUAUUUUCAUUUAUUAAAUACAGAAGAAAUAUUUCGCUGAAGACACAGGAAACCCUAUUUUGUAUAAACGAGGGAUUGCAAGAGAUUGUUGGAAGAUCAAAGAUGGGUGAAUUGGAGCUCUUCCUGAGAACAAAAAGGAUUUAUGAAGGAAAAAGCAGCUAAUCAAAGAAGUUCUGAGUUUAAAUUCUGUUUUGUCCACUUACUAGCCAUUUGACCUUGGGCAAGUCACUUUACUGGACCUCAGUUUCCUUGUAUGUGAAAGGUUUUGGUAAAAAUCAUAUUAGUUAAAGAAUGUAAAGAGUUUUAUAAAUUACAAAGUGAUUAAAAAAAGUAAAAUGUAUUGUUGUUUAGGAACAAUGAAAAAAAAAGAAACCUUGACAUUUUUUCUUCAAGUUCUUGCCUAAAAUGUUUAUUUGUUUGGCCCUUUUUAGAUUUAACAAAUUCUAUGUGUCUAAAUAUCAGUGUAGACCCCUUCUUACCCUACUGGAUUUAUAAGGUACUAAAAGUAGAUAUGCAUCUCUUCUGUCUUGGUUCGCUCUAAAAUGGGAUGUUUGCAAACCUCUUGGUUUUUCUUUUUUAAUAUGGAUGAAGCUUAUAUUAAUUUUUGGCUUGGUAUUAAAUUUUGUUUGGAAUAUUAUUAA
rnacentral:sRNA from 1 species